UGAACGAAGCAUUAACCUGCUGACCUGGA
rnacentral:piRNA from 1 species